CAGGAUGAACGCUAGCUACAGGCUUAACACAUGCAAGUCGAGGGGCAGCAUGGUCUUAGCUUGCUAAGGCCGAUGGCGACCGGCGCACGGGUGAGUAACACGUAUCCAACCUGCCGUCUACUCUUGGACAGCCUUCUGAAAGGAAGAUUAAUACAAGAUGGCAUCAUGAGUCCGCAUGUUCACAUGAUUAAAGGUAUUCCGGUAGACGAUGGGGAUGCGUUCCAUUAGAUAGUAGGCGGGGUAACGGCCCACCUAGUCUUCGAUGGAUAGGGGUUCUGAGAGGAAGGUCCCCCACAUUGGAACUGAGACACGGUCCAAACUCCUACGGGAGGCAGCAGUGAGGAAUAUUGGUCAAUGGGCGAGAGCCUGAACCAGCCAAGUAGCGUGAAGGAUGACUGCCCUAUGGGUUGUAAACUUCUUUUAUAAAGGAAUAAAGUCGGGUAUGGAUACCCGUUUGCAUGUACUUUAUGAAUAAGGAUCGGCUAACUCCGUGCCAGCAGCCGCGGUAAUACGGAGGAUCCGAGCGUUAUCCGGAUUUAUUGGGUUUAAAGGGAGCGUAGAUGGAUGUUUAAGUCAGUUGUGAAAGUUUGCGGCUCAACCGUAAAAUUGCAGUUGAUACUGGAUAUCUUGAGUGCAGUUGAGGCAGGCGGAAUUCGUGGUGUAGCGGUGAAAUGCUUAGAUAUCACGAAGAACUCCGAUUGCGAAGGCAGCCUGCUAAGCUGCAACUGACAUUGAGGCUCGAAAGUGUGGGUAUCAAACAGGAUUAGAUACCCUGGUAGUCCACACGGUAAACGAUGAAUACUCGCUGUUUGCGAUAUACUGCAAGCGGCCAAGCGAAAGCGUUAAGUAUUCCACCUGGGGAGUACGCCGGCAACGGUGAAACUCAAAGGAAUUGACGGGGGCCCGCACAAGCGGAGGAACAUGUGGUUUAAUUCGAUGAUACGCGAGGAACCUUACCCGGGCUUAAAUUGCAGAUGAAUUACGGUGAAAGCCGUAAGCCGCAAGGCAUCUGUGAAGGUGCUGCAUGGUUGUCGUCAGCUCGUGCCGUGAGGUGUCGGCUUAAGUGCCAUAACGAGCGCAACCCUUGUUGUCAGUUACUAACAGGUUCCGCUGAGGACUCUGACAAGACUGCCAUCGUAAGAUGUGAGGAAGGUGGGGAUGACGUCAAAUCAGCACGGCCCUUACGUCCGGGGCUACACACGUGUUACAAUGGGGGGUACAGAGGGCCGCUACCACGCGAGUGGAUGCCAAUCCCCAAAACCUCUCUCAGUUCGGACUGGAGUCUGCAACCCGACUCCACGAAGCUGGAUUCGCUAGUAAUCGCGCAUCAGCCACGGCGCGGUGAAUACGUUCCCGGGCCUUGUACACACCGCCCGUCAAGCCAUGGGAGCCGGGGGUACCUGAAGUGCGUAACCGCGAGGAGCGCCCUAGGGUAAAACUG
rnacentral:rRNA from 1 species